rnacentral:rRNA from 1 species
GGAUGAACGCUAGCUACAGGCUUAACACAUGCAAGUCGAGGGGCAGCAGGAUCUAGCAAUAGAUUGCUGGCGACCGGCGCACGGGUGAGUAACACGUAUCCAACCUGCCGAUAACUCGGGGAUAGCCUUUCGAAAGAAAGAUUAAUACCCGAUAGUAUAAUCAGACCGCAUGGUUUGAUUAUUAAAGAAUUUCGGUUAUCGAUGGGGAUGCGUUCCAUUAGGCAGUUGGUGAGGUAACGGCUCACCAAACCUUCGAUGGAUAGGGGUUCUGAGAGGAAGGUCCCCCACAUUGGAACUGAGACACGGUCCAAACUCCUACGGGAGGCAGCAGUGAGGAAUAUUGGUCAAUGGACGCGAGUCUGAACCAGCCAAGUAGCGUGAAGGAUGACUGCCCUAUGGGUUGUAAACUUCUUUUAUAUGGGAAUAAAGUUUUCCACGUGUGGAAUUUUGUAUGUACCAUAUGAAUAAGGAUCGGCUAACUCCGUGCCAGCAGCCGCGGUAAUACGGAGGAUCCGAGCGUUAUCCGGAUUUAUUGGGUUUAAAGGGAGCGUAGGUGGACAGUUAAGUCAGUUGUGAAAGUUUGCGGCUCAACCGUAAAAUUGCAGUUGAUACUGGCUGUCUUGAGUACAGUAGAGGUGGGCGGAAUUCGUGGUGUAGCGGUGAAAUGCUUAGAUAUCACGAAGAACUCCGAUUGCGAAGGCAGCUCACUGGACUGCAACUGACACUGAUGCUCGAAAGUGUGGGUAUCAAACAGGAUUAGAUACCCUGGUAGUCCACACAGUAAACGAUGAAUACUCGCUGUUUGCGAUAUACAGUAAGCGGCCAAGCGAAAGCAUUAAGUAUUCCACCUGGGGAGUACGCCGGCAACGGUGAAACUCAAAGGAAUUGACGGGGGCCCGCACAAGCGGAGGAACAUGUGGUUUAAUUCGAUGAUACGCGAGGAACCUUACCCGGGCUUAAAUUGCAUUUGAAUAUAUUGGAAACAGUAUAGCCGUAAGGCAAAUGUGAAGGUGCUGCAUGGUUGUCGUCAGCUCGUGCCGUGAGGUGUCGGCUUAAGUGCCAUAACGAGCGCAACCCUUAUCUUUAGUUACUAACAGGUCAUGCUGAGGACUCUAGAGAGACUGCCGUCGUAAGAUGUGAGGAAGGUGGGGAUGACGUCAAAUCAGCACGGCCCUUACGUCCGGGGCUACACACGUGUUACAAUGGGGGGUACAGAAGGCAGCUACCUGGUGACAGGAUGCUAAUCCCAAAAGCCUCUCUCAGUUCGGAUCGAAGUCUGCAACCCGACUUCGUGAAGCUGGAUUCGCUAGUAAUCGCGCAUCAGCCAUGGCGCGGUGAAUACGUUCCCGGGCCUUGUACACACCGCCCGUCAAGCCAUGAAAGCCGGGGGUACCUGAAGUACGUAACCGCAAGGAGCGUCCUAGGGUAAAACUGG